CAAUAGCGUAUAUUAAAGUUGUUGCAGUUAAAAAGCUCGUAGUUGAACUUCAGGCUCGGACCGGCGGUCCGCCUCACGGUGUGUACUGUCGGUUCGGGCCUUUCUUCUUGGUGAGCCCGCAUGGCCUUUACUGGUUGUGCGGGUGAACCAGGACCUUUACCUUGAGAAAAUUAGAGUGUUCAAAGCAGGCCUGCGCCUGAAUACGUUAGCAUGGAAUAAUAAAAUAGGACGUGCGGUUCUAUUUUGUUGGUUUCUAGAGUCGCCGUAAUGAUUAAUAGGGAUAGUUGGGGGCAUUCGUAUUCCGUUGCUAGAGGUGAAAUUCUUGGAUUUACGGAAGACGAACUACUGCGAAAGCAUUUGCCAAGGAUGUUUUCAUUGA
rnacentral:rRNA from 1 species